rnacentral:rRNA from 1 species
UUGCACGCUGGCGGCAGGCCUAACACAUGCAAGUCGAGCGGAUGAAGGGAGCUUGCUCCUGGAUUCAGCGGCGGACGGGUGAGUAAUGCCUAGGAAUCUGCCUGGUAGUGGGGGAUAACGUCCGGAAACGGGCGCUAAUACCGCAUACGUCCUGAGGGAGAAAGUGGGGGAUCUUCGGACCUCACGCUAUCAGAUGAGCCUAGGUCGGAUUAGCUAGUUGGUGGGGUAAAGGCCUACCAAGGCGACGAUCCGUAACUGGUCUGAGAGGAUGAUCAGUCACACUGGAACUGAGACACGGUCCAGACUCCUACGGGAGGCAGCAGUGGGGAAUAUUGGACAACGGGCGAAAGCCUGAUCCAGCCAUGCCGCGUGUGUGAAGAAGGUCUUCGGAUUGUAAAGCACUUUAAGUUGGGAGGAAGGGCAGUAAGUUAAUACCUUGCUGUUUUGACGUUACCAACAGAAUAAGCACCGGCUAACUUCGUG